AACGUAGGACGCAAGCGUUAUCCGGAGUUACUGGGCGUAAAGCGUGCGCAGGCGGUUCGUUGUGUCGGCGGUGAAAGCCCCGGGCUUAACCUGGGAAUGGCCGUUGAAACUGGCGAACUGGAGUGUGGCAGAGGGGGGUGGAAUUCCGCGUGUAGCAGUGAAAUGCGUAGAGAUGUGGAGGAAUACCGAUGGCGAAGGCAGCCCCCUGGGCCAAUACUGACGCUCAUGCACGAAAGCGUGGGGAGCAAACAGG
rnacentral:rRNA from 1 species